AUGUGGGAGGAAUCCUUGCCUCAUAUUGAAUUUGCUUAUAAUCGUUCAUUGCAUUCUACUACUAAGAUGUGCCCUUUUGAAGUUGUGUAUGGUUUCCUACCUCGUGCACCUAUUGAUUUGUUGCCUCUUCCAUCUUCGGAGAAGGUUAAUUUUGAUGCUAAACAACGUGCUGAAUUGAUUUUAAAAAUGCAUGAGUUAACUAAGGAAAACAUUGAGCGUAUGAAUGCUAAAUAUAAACUUGCUGGAGAUAAGGGUAGAAAACAUGUUGUGUUUGCACCUGGAGAUCUUGUUUGGUUACAUUUGCGUAAGGAUAGAUUUCCUGAUUUGCGCAAAUCAAAGCUAAUGCCACGUGCUGAUGGUCCCUUUAAGGUGUUAGAGAAAAUAAAUGAUAAUGCAUAUAAACUUGAGCUGCCUGCAGAUUUUGGGGUUAGUCCCACUUUUAACAUUGCAGAUUUGAAGCCUUAUUUGGGUGAGGAAGAUGAACUUCCAUUGAGGACGACUUCAUUUCAAGAAGGGGAGGAUGAUGAGGACAUCAAUACAAUUGUUACACCCACAGCCCCUGCUGCUAUACAUACUGGACCAAUUACUAGAGCUCGUGCACGCCAACUAAAUUACCAGGAAACAGACCCUCGUGGUCAGGUUGAUCGUGCUCCGGCGUGGUCAAUAACCUCUCGGAGUUGGUUUAGCGAUUGCUAA
rnacentral:rRNA from 1 species